AUGCGCAGCAUGACUUGCGCCCCACCCUAUUGUUGGAGCCAUGUGCCCCGGGAUCCUGGAUCUGCCACUACAGCCACCUCCCUGGCCAUGGGAGUCACCUGCGAGUUAUGCAGCGACACCUCCCAUGAAGAUUCAGCAACAUCUGCAGUAUUCAGAUGUCUUCACCUGAAAAACCUGCCCCCAUCAGGACCUCAGCUCUCUGAAAGCACUGUGACACCACACAGGGGUGAUCCCUUCAUGUUGCAGCAGUCAAUAAACCCAGAACCAGGAAUUCUGGGACCUCCACCUCCCUCAUUUCAUCUUGGGGGACCAGCAGUUGGACCAAGAGGAAAUCUAGGUGCUGGAAAUGAGAACCUGCAAGGACCUAGACACAUGCAGAAAGGCAGAGUGGAAACUAGCCGAGUUGUUCACAUCAUGGAUUUUCAACGAGGGAAAAACUUGAGAUACCAACUAUUACAGCUUGUGGAACCAUUUGGAGUCAUUUCAAAUCAUCUGAUUCUAAAUAAAAUUAAUGAGGCUUUUAUUGAAAUGGCAACUAGAGAGGAUGCUCAGGCUGCAGUGGAUUAUUAUACAACCGUGCCAGCAUUAUUAUUUGGCAAGGCAGUGAGAGUCCAUUUAUCCCAGAAGUAUAAAAGAAUAAAGAAGCCUGAGGGGAAACCAGAUCAGAAGUUUGAUCAAAAGCAAGAGCUUGGACGUGUGAUACAUCUAGCAAUUUACCCCAUUCUGGCUAUUCUGAUAGUGCUGUUCUAAAGCUUGCCGAGCCCUAUGGAAAAAUAAAAAAAAACUAUAUAUUGAUGAGGAUGAAGAGUCAGGCCUUCUUUGAGAUGGAGACAAGAGAAGAUGCAAUGGCAAUGGUUGACCAUUGUUUGAAAAAAGCCCUUUGGUUUCAGGGGAGAUGUGUAAAGGUUGACCUUUCUGAGAAAUACAAAAAACUGGUGCUGAGGAUACCCAACAGAGGCAUUGACUUACUGAAAAAAGAUAAAUCCCAAAAAAGGUCUUAUUCUCCAGAUGGCAAAGAAUCUCCAAGUGAUAAGAAAUCUAAAACUGAUGGUUCCCAGAAGACUGAAAGUACAAAUGAAGGUAAAAAACAAGAAGAAAAGUCAGGUGAAGAUGGUGAGAAAGAUACAAAGGAUGACCAGACAGAACAGGAACCCAAUAUGCUUCUCGAAUCUGAAGAUGAGCUAAUUGUGGAUGAAGAAGAAGCAGCUGCAUUGUUAGAAAGUGGCAGUUCAGUGGGAGGUGAGACUGAUCUUGCUAAUUUAGGUGAUGUGGCUUCUGAUGGGAAAAAAGGAGCCUUCAGAUAAAGCUGUGAAAAAAGAUACAAGUGCUUCAGCAGCAGCAAAGAAACAGUUUAAAAAGGUGGACAAGAUUGAGGAACUUGAUCAAGAAAAUGAAGCAGCACUGGAAAAUGGAAUUAAAAAUGAGGAAAAUACAGAACGAGGUGCAGAAUCUGCUGAGAAGAUCCCAACAAAGAUACAAGUGAAAAUGCAGAAGGACAAAGUGAUGAAAACAAGGAGGACUAUACAAUCCCAGAUGAGUAUAGAAUUGGACCAUAUCAGUCCAAUGUUCCUGUUGAAAUUUCUGAAUAAAUUGGCAGAGGAACGCAGACAAAAGAAGGAAACAUAAGAUGUCCAAGAAGAGUUAACGAUUUCAAAGAAAAUAAUGGUUCUUUGUUUUUAAUGUUAACCUUUUUUAAAUACAAUACUGAUGUUAGAAGAUGACUAUUGUACUCUUUUGUUUUAGUGGAGAAAUACUAGUCUGUUCAUGCGUUAAAUGUUAUAGCAAGAAAAUACAUACGUGGUUAAGUUAAUGAAGACUAGUUUUUCUUUUAUCAGAAAGGCAACAGAAGUACUUUGUAGAAACUGACUUUGUAAGCUAUUUAAGACAACUUGCACCACUGAGAAAAAGAUAACGUAGAACAUUCAGAAAAAUUAAUUUUAGUAGUUCCAAGCUUCAAAGAAAUGUGAACAUUUGAUUCCAUUCAAUAAAGAACAAAACC